CCUACGGGAGACAGCAGUAGGGAAUAUUGCUCAAUGGGGGAAACCCUGAAGCAGCAACGCCGCGUGGAGGAUGAAGGUUUUCGGAUUGUAAACUCCUUUUGUUAGAGAAGAAAAUGACGGUAUCUAACGAAUAAGCACCGGCUAACUCCGUGCCAGCAGCCGCGGUAAUACGGAGGGUGCAAGCGUUACUCGGAUUCACUGGGCGUAAAGAGCGCGCAGGCGGGAUAGCAAGUCAGAUGUGAAAGCCUAGGGCUUAACCCUAGAACUGCAUUUGAAACUGUUAUUCUGGAGUGUGGGAGAGGUAGGUGGAAUGCUUGGUGUAGCGGUGAAAUGCGUAGAGAUCAGGAGGAAUACUCAUUGCGAAGGCGGCCUGCUAGAACGUAACUGACGCUGAUGCGCGAAAGCGUGGGGAGCAAACAGGAUUAGAUACCCGAGUAGUC
rnacentral:rRNA from 1 species